GUGCUAGCUUCGGCAACACAUAUACUAAAACCUGGAACAAUACAGAAAAGAUUAACAUUACCCCUGUGCAAGAAUAAUAUGUAAAUUCGUGAAGCGUUCCAUAUUUUU